CACGUAGGGCGCAAGCGUUGUCCGGAAUUAUUGGGCGUAAAGAGCUCGUAGGCGGUCUGUUGCGUCCGCUGUGAAAACCCGGGGCUUAACCCUGGGCUGGCAGUGGAUACGGACAGACUAGAGGUAGGUAGGGGAGAAUGGAAUUCCCGGUGUAGCGGUGAAAUGCGCAGAUAUCGGGAGGAACACCGGUGGCGAAGGCGGUUCUCUGGGCCUUAACUGACGCUGAGGAGCGAAAGCGUGGGGAGCGAACAGG
rnacentral:rRNA from 1 species